rnacentral:lncRNA from 1 species
UUUUGACGGUUUCCAUAUGGCUGAACAAUCCAGUGAAAAUGUAUGUCAAACGGCUUUAAUGUGUCAGUUUUGUGAUCAACAAAAUGUAAAAUGCAAAUGCGAGGACUGCGAUAUAUUUCUAUGUGAUUCGUGUAAAGAAAAAAAUCAUACAAGACUUAAGUCAUCAGAUAAUCAUAGGAUAGUGUCCAUUAAAGAUAUCGGAAAGGUAAUGAUAAUCUUCUUAAAAUUUGCGUUCAGCUGAUGAAAAUCAAUUAAAUCUUCCGAAGCCCAAAACUAUUUUUUGACAAAAAAACAUUUCCAUAUUCUGGUUCUCUAAUAUGAAAGAGUUUACCACAAAACAUAAAGAUUAGUAAUACAGUAGCUUGUAUCUUUUAAAACUAAGUGUUACACAUUUUUCAUAGAUUGUGCAAAUUAAUAUCCUUUUUCAUAAAUAUAUUUAUUUAAUUGUAUAAUGUUAUAUACAUUUCAUUGCAAUAUUGUACUUUAUAAUUAUGUUAUAAGGACUCCCGGGAAGAUAAGUUUUAACUAAUGGGAUUAUCCUCUUGAAAUAAAAAUCAUUUUAUUUAUUUAUUUAAAGUGGAGUCUCUGUUUAAUGUUAAAAAAGGAUCAUUCCUAAAAUCUAUUGAUUUCAAGUCCUAAAAGAAUUCGCUGCAAAAGCUUAUUAUAUGGGUAUCUCAUUUAUAUUGUUGACGUAUAUAUUUAUGUUGCAAUAUACAAACCAUAAAUUAAGCUAUACAUAUUACAAAAUAGUGUUGAAAAAUAGAUGUCUCUUUGAAUGUACGCGUAAAACACCGCUUUUUGUCACCAUUGUAUUGUCAAUAGCCUGUUCACGUGUAUCGAUAAAUCUUAAGAUAAUAUACGAAAUAUUCUGAAAAUUAGAUUUAUCAACGGAGGUAUUGAUUUUAUUUACUUAUCUAGUAUUUUUGAAUCUGCAAUUCAAAACUAUAUACGUCCCUAUUUUUAAUAUUAUAGAACCACCUUUGAUUUCGAAUACAUACCAAUUAAUCGAAGAAGCUAGUUUUUAUGACAAAUUUAAUAUGCCCCAUUUAUGUGCAUUAUGUUUUAUGGUCUAUGCAUCCGUCCGUCCGUCCAUUCGUCCGUUCGUUCGCCCGUUCGUAUGUUUGUCCCGCUUCAUGUCAAAGUUUUUGGUCGAGGUAGUUUUUGGUGAAGAAAUUAGUAAACCUGUUUCCUAUUAUAUGAUCUUUCUAAUUUUAAAGUCAAAUUAGAGAUUUUAUCCCGUUUUCACGGUCCACUGAACGUAGAAAAUGAUAGUGCGGAUGGGGCAUCCGUGUACUUGGGUCACAUUCUUGUUAAUUAUACACCAGUUACAUUAGACGCCAUUAUAGAACAUUAUGCUCCUUUUAACAGACAUCAAGACUGCGAAACAUUAAAUUUGUAAGAUGAUCUCAAUGACCAUUUUAUCAGUUUUGGAAUCUCAACUUCGUUCGAGACCUGGAGAUAAAAACUUUCUGAAUAAAUGAUAAAUAUAUACAUUGGUAAUAUUGUCACUCGUUACAGUAUUAAUGAUACCGUUUCAUCAUAUUUGUAAAUUGGAAUUACCGGCAAAAAUCUGAUUCAUGAUUUUGAUUUGGUUCGAUGAAUAAAUAUUGUGAACACUCGAAUACAACUUUAAGAAAAUAAUUUAAAAAUCAAUAAAAUGGUUCAUAAUAUUUGCUUUAAUAGAAUAAGAAAAACACGCAAAAUACUCGCUAAACGGAUUGUUGUUUGUACCGACACGUUACAAAAGAGGGACCAAAGAUAUCAGGAACAGUCAAAAAAAGACGGUAAAACUCAUAAAUCGAAAAAAAAACUGACAUCGCAAUGGCUAAGAAUGAAAUUUACAAACAGACAAACUAUUGUACACAUGAAACAACAUAGAAAACUAAAGAAAAUGAAGAAUAAGCAACACGAACCCCAGCAAAAACUGGGGUUGAUCUCAGAUGCUCUGGAAGGGUAAGCAGAUCCUGCUCCACAUGUGGCACCCGUCGUGUUGCACAUGUUAUAACAAAUCCGGGAAAUAGUCUAAUUAGGUAGGUCACAUUCAUGAAGGGGAAGAGGAUUGUAGUUACGUCGUAAGUAAUAUAUAUGAUAGCAUCUGUGACUGCCAACCAACUCAUGAUAGCGUCCGUAAAAUUUAAGAAGAGAUGAUUUCAGCUUCACCAUUUGGAACUCUUGGUUUAAUAGCUUCCUUGUGAGCAGCAACCAUCUAUCAAAAAAAUUAGGAUAGGAAAUACAUGCACGGGAAUAUCGUAUCAAUUGGGAGAUAUACACCGUAUGCAGGUGCUGAUGGAAUGUUGCUACUUAGAAAUGGAAAGUGCACAAUUAGAAAACUGAAAUCAUCUCUUUCGUCGUAAAGUUUUGUUUUCGACCAACCAUCAUUGUCCAUUUUUAGAUGUAAGUCAAGAUAUGAGGCCGGCGUAACUG